UGAAGGAGGGCAGAGAGAGUGACCCACUGUUCUGGGAACGGACCUGCAGAUUUUCACGGGCUCGGGAAACUACAUGUUGACGGAAAACUGGGGGAAUAAUGAAACAAUGACGAAGGUCAGCAAAACGUAACGUUCCAAAAGUGCUGGGAAUUUUGUGAAUCACAGAGUUCAUCAGAGCUGAGGAGGAAGGAGAGAAGCACAUAGAAGAUAACCACUGGUCUCUGGUCGGUCACUGAACACUACUGGACGAGAAGAUGGAUCUCGUGGAAGCUCUUCACAUCUUUCUACUUUUGUGCUCUCUUCAAGUUGGUGUGUGGACGUGUCCAGAUGGUUGCAAAUGUAAAGACCCUAGAAUCCACUGCACUGGCCUCACAGACCUCCCCAGAGCUUUACCCUCGACUAUAACUACCCUCCACAUGUCCAACUGCAGCAUCAACUCACUGAGUGCAGACGACCUGAGGAACGUCUCCAACUCCCUCUUGCAGUUGUUAAUAAAAGACUCUGUCCUGAGGGAAAUUCAAACGGGAACAUUUGAUUCCAUAGUAAACAUGCGUGACAUGGGGUUUGUUGAAACUGGACUGACAGAUCUCCCUGAUUCUUUGUUCAAUCAUCAAAACAGCCUUCGUUAUUUAACUUUGGAGGGCAACAAACUAACUGUACUUCGACCUGCUUGGUUUUCCUCACUGACAAAUGUAAAGUUUCUUGAUCUUAGUCAGAAUCUUUUCACUUCUGUACCUGAGAAAACAUUUCACCCUCUUUCUUCUUUAGAAUAUCUUAAACUUUCCGGAAACAAUAUCAGUUAUCUGUCCAAGAAGACUUUCGAGGGUCUCACUAGCCUUACAGUUUUAAGGUUGAGUAAAAACUCUCUACAGGAACUCCCCCCUGGCAGCCUGCAUGACCUGGAAAACCUGGAGGAACUUUCUCUAAAUGACAAUCAGAUCACUCAGCUCCACCCUGACCUGUUCUCUAAGACCUCCAAGCUCAACAAGCUUUCCCUUUCUCACAACAGGAUUACAUCCCUUCCACAGGGGAUCUUCUUAAACCUUCCCCUGCUUUCACACAUCUCCUUGUAUCAGAAUCAGCUAGAAAGUCUGAGUCCAGGGACAUUUGGUCCAAUGACGUUGAAGGAGCUGUGGCUAUAUGACAACAAUCUCAGCCGUUUAGAAGAAGACACAUUCAGGAAUCUGACUCAGCUUAAACUCCUGGUGCUUAGUCGCAACCAAAUCAGCCAUGUUUCCCCCGGGGCAUUUCGAGGGUUGGAGCAGCUGGGCGAGGUAUCGCUUCACACCAACCGGCUCACAUCCCUGCAACCUGGAACUUUCCAAGAUCUGUCUAAUCUGGUCAACAUCUCCCUGGAGCACAACUUCCUCCACUCUCUCCCACCAGGUGUUCUCCAGGGCCUGAGUCAUUUAGGAGAGAUAGAUCUGAGAAACAAUUCUUUUCAAAAUCUUCCACGGAAAAGUUUAGAAUCACUCACCAUCGCAGACAAAGUCCGUUUAGAUCAAAACAACUGGAAGUGCGACAUGGGAAUCCUUCCUCUGAGAGACUGGAUGAAUCAACAUCCAUCCAAAGUGAACCAGUCCCUCAUGGUGUGUCACUUACCUGACAGUUUGAACGGCGAGCCAAUUUCUCAGCUUACAAGUGAGAAUUUGAUCCCCAUCUUCAGCUCCACUGAAGAGCCUGAGUUAACCACAGCAGAGAGGAGGCAGACGCCCUCACCUGGUGUCAAGACCACCACCACCUCAGAGCACGUUGGGGUCACAAGCAGCGGAUCAGGGGAACAUGGAGAGGGUUCUAACUCUACACUGACCACUCUCAUUGUUGCUGCAGUCAUGUCCACCGCUGUCAUCAGCGCUGUCAUCACUGGCUGUUUGUGCUGGCAGAAGAAGAGAAGAGGCAGCAGAGACAUUGAACAGAGGAAUAAAAACUAUGUCCUGUAGACAAACCACUGAACAUCUGGAAACACUUAAAAAAAGAAGAAGUAGUACUCACUAAUGACAGUAGUUAGGUUGAAAAAGUAGGGUCAACGGGCACAGGAAGAACUUUGUCUUUUUCCACUUUCAUUCAUUUUCCUGAAAGCUGUGUGUGCUUUAAAAUCAGGAAUGUCAUCAUUGUAAAACCUUUUUAUGAAACUUUUAUGAAAGUAAAAUGGUUUGCAAUAGAAUCACAUAUUAUAUUUUUCUCACACCUUACAUUAUGGCAGUUUGGGCCAAAAACAAAACAUUUGAGCAAAAUUACAUCUUAAUGUAAAUGUACAAUAAACAGUGUACACUGUUUAUAACUAACAAUAUGACACGUUACACUGAAUAAAUGCACUGAUUUGAGUUUUUA